UCUAAAUUGGCUACAGCGUUGCGGUCCGGACAGAGCAAAAAAAACAAGGCAUCAGUAUUGUUGAGUAUUAGCUUGUACCUGGUUCGGAGGCUAAGUUUGCCGGAGAAGGCAGGACUGAGCCGUGGUCGCUGCCCGACUGUGCCGCGGCGCCGGAGUUUGGACCAAGACAAAGACAGGAGCUGUCCGCGGUGCUGAAUCGGCUGCGUCGCCGCUGGGGCAAAAGGGCUCCAGUAACCAGCCCUCCGCUCAUUUACCACUAAUCCUUCUAGCUCCAUUCGCUCCGUGACUGUUGCCUUCCCCUGAAUUUAUUUCCCUUUUCUGGGGCUCACCUUAGAACUUGCGCCCUGUACACAGGUGUAUAUACGUAUAUCAAAGAACAAAAUGAUUAAUUGAAAACGGUGUCUUCUUUCUUCUCAACUAAAUGAUGCUAGAAAGGUUUAACUGUACUCUAAAACAGAGAGAAAUGGAUAUUUCCACUCCCAAAGAAAUGGAAAUUCUUAUUUAAAACAAUAGAACUAACCGUAACACAUGCCACGAAUCUGCCCUUUGAUUUAUUCCAAUAAAGAGGCAAGGGGUUUAGAAAUU